UACGUAGGGGGCGAGCGUUGUCCGGAAUUACUGGGCGUAAAGAGCACGUAGGCGGUAACCUAAGUCAGGUGUGAAAGACCGUGGCUCAACCACGGGGUGGCAUUUGAAACUGGUUUUCUUGAGUGUGGAUGAAGUAGGCGGAAUUUGUGGUGUAGCGGUGAAAUGCAUAGAUAUCACGAGGAACUCCGAUUGCGCAGGCAGCUUACUAAACUACUACUGACGCUCAGGCACGAAGGCGUGGGGAUCAAACAGGAUUAGAUACCCUGGUAGU
rnacentral:rRNA from 1 species